GACGAACCGUGCAAACGUUGUUCGGAAUCACUGGGCUUAAAGGGCGCGUAGGCGGGCCAGCCAGUCUGUGGUGAAAGCCUCCAGCUUAACUGGAGAAGUGCCGUGGAUACUGCUGGCCUCGAGGAGGGUAGGGGCAUCUGGAACGGUCGGUGGAGCGGUGAAAUGCGUUGAUAUCGACCGGAACUCCGGUGGCGAAGGCGAGGUGCUGGGCCGUUUCUGACGCUGAUGCGCGAAAGCCAGGGGAGCAAACGGG
rnacentral:rRNA from 1 species